rnacentral:rRNA from 1 species
AACGAACGCUGGCGGCAGGCCUAACACAUGCAAGUCGAACGCGCGUAGCAAUACGCGAGUGGCGCACGGGUGAGUAAUACGUGGGAAUCAACCCAGAGGUUCGGAAUAACCGCGGGAAACUGCGGCUAAUACCGGAUGUCCCCCAUGGGGGAAAGAUUUAUCGCCUUUGGACGAGCCCACGUCCGAUUAGCUUGUUGGUGAGGUAACGGCUCACCAAGGCAACGAUCGGUAGCUGGUCUGAGAGGACGACCAGCCACACUGGAACUGAGACACGGUCCAGACUCCUACGGGAGGCAGCAGUGGGGAAUAUUGGGCAAUGGAGGCAACUCUGACCCAGCCAUGCCGCGUGGGUGACGAAGGUCUUCGGAUUGUAAAGCCCUUUCGGCGGGGACGAUGAUGACGGUACCCGCAGAAGAAGCCCCGGCUAACUUCGUGCCAGCAGCCGCAGUAAAAC